rnacentral:rRNA from 1 species
GACGAACGCUGGCGGCGUGCUUAACACAUGCAAGUCGAACGGAAAGGCCCUGCUUUUGUGGGGUGCUCGAGUGGCGAACGGGUGAGUAACACGUGAGUAACCUGCCCUUGACUUUGGGAUAACUUCAGGAAACUGGGGCUAAUACCGGAUAGGAGCUCCUGCUGCAUGGUGGGGGUUGGAAAGUUUCGGCUGUUGGGGAUGGACUCGCGGCUUAUCAGCUUGUUGGUGGGGUAGUGGCUUACCAAGGCUUUGACGGGUAGCCGGCCUGAGAGGGUGACCGGCCACAUUGGGACUGAGAUACGGACCAGACUCCUACGGGAGGCAGCAGUGGGGAAUAUUGCACAAUGGGCGGACGCCUGAUGCAGCAACGCCGCGUGCGGGAUGACGGCCUUCGGGUUGUAAACCGCUUUCGCCUGUGACGAAGCGUGAGUGACGGUAAUGGGUAAAGAAGCACCGGCUAACUACGUG